rnacentral:rRNA from 1 species
UACGAGUACCCCAAGCGUUAUCCGGAAUCAUUGGGCGUAAAGGGUGUGUAGGUGGUUUGGUUAGUCUUCUGUUAAAACCUCGGGCUCAACCCGAGGCUUGCAGUGGAAACGGCCAAACUUGAGGAUGCGAGAGGUGAAUGGAACUCAUGGAGUAGGGGUGAAAUCCGUUGAUAUCAUGGGGAACACCAAAAGCGAAGGCAAUUCACUGGCGCAAUCCUGACACUGAGACUCGAAAGCGUGGGUAGCGAACGGG